UUGGAGGGCAAGUCUGGUGCCAGCAGCCGCGGUAAUUCCAGCUCCAAUAGCGUAUAUUAAAGUUGUUGCAGUUAAAAAGCUCGUAGUUGAAUUUCGGGAUUAGCAGGUCGGUCGUGCCACUGGUACGUACUGGUCUUGCUGAUUCCUCCCUCUUGACGAGCCGUAAUGCCAUUAAUUUGGUGUUGCGGGGAAUCAGGACUGUUACUUUGAAAAAAUUAAAGUGUUUAAAGCAGG
rnacentral:rRNA from 1 species